ACUGCCAAAUAACUGUGCAUUAACUGCCUUGUUCAGGGGCAGAACUGACAGAUUUUUCAAUACCUUGUCAGCCUAGGGAUUCAAUCUUGCAAACUUUCGGUUACAAGUCCAAUGCUCUAACAUCUAGGCUACAUGCACGCCUCCUGCUGUGGUGCAUGGAGUCCCUAUUCUUUUACCCCAGUAGGAUGGGUUCAGGAUAAAAUACACUUAAGCAAUCUAAAAUGGCACAAUUCCCACAAGAGGAACCAAACCGUGCGUUUGAAAGAAACAGGAACCAAGACGAACUAGCCUUGUUGAUUCUUGGUUGUUUUUCCCAAUUGCUGUGGAACUGGAAACAGGAUUGGGUUUAAUUUGCGGGGUGAAAACUGCUAGGGACUAUUUUAAGACGGCAACCUUCGACAGCGAUAUUGUUGUGAUCUUCGGUGACUGGCAUUAAGUGUGGAGAAGGGAGAUGUGCUGAUCUAUCACGUUGCCGAACCGCAGGCGACCGACCGCCCACUGUCUGGACCCUGUUGCACAAUUUUCAGACCCACAGUGGAUCGAUGACUCCUGCAUGUCGGCAGAGACUUUCCAGGUCCUCUGCAAAAGGGCUGAGUACUAUUUGUGGGAGAGACAUGAUGCAUUGUUCCACCUUUGUGUCCCUCUCCGAAUGCGAAAUGCAGCAUUUCAGCAGCCUGCAGUGCCACUUCCAGAGAGGAUGGGAGCUAUAAUGUAAACACAGUGUGUGAUGGACUCCUGCAACACUUCAACAACUAGGUACAGCAAGAGUGGAUUACACAGGAUUGCUAUUGCUAAAACGGAGACACCCAGCUCCACCAUCGCCCUUUGGACAACAGAACGACUAGCACGACAAACCAAGCCUUGUCCUUUAGCUCAGUGGUGAGCCAUGGGUAUUAAUACAGUACUGCUAUAUAAUGCCCCGUGUCACAUGACUGUAUCCUUGGGGAUUAAUACAGUACUGCUAUAUAAUGCCCCGUGUCACAUGACUGUAUCCUUGGGGAUUAAUACAGUACUGCUAUAUAAUGCCCCGUGUCACAUGACUGUAUCCUUGGGGAUUAAUACAGUACUGCUAUAUAAUGCCCCGUGUCACAUGACUGUAUCCUUGGGGAUUAAUACAGUACUGCUAUAUAAUGCCCCGUGUCACAUGACUGUAUCCUUGGGGAUUAAUACAGUACUGCUAUAUAAUGCCCCUGUCACAUGACUGUAUCCUUGGGGAUUAAUACAGUACUGCUAUAUAAUGCCCCGUGUCACAUGACUGUAUCCUUGGGGAUUAAUACAGUACUGCUAUAUAAUGCCCCGUGUCACAUGACUGUAUCCUUGGGGAUUAAUACAGUACUGCUAUAUAAUGCCCCGUGUCACAUGACUGUAUCCUUGGGGAUUAAUACAGUACUGCUAUAUAAUGCCCCGUGUCACAUGACUGUAUCCUUGGGGAUUAAUACAGUACUGCUAUAUAAUGCCCCGUGUCACAUGACUGUAUCCUUGGGGAUUAAUACAGUACUGCUAUAUAAUGCCCCUGUCACAUGACUGUAUCCUUGGGGAUUAAUACAGUACUGCUAUAUAAUGCCCCUGUCACAUGACUGUAUCCUUGGGGAUUAAUACAGUACUGCUAUAUAAUGCCCCUGUCACAUGACUGUAUCCUUGGGGAUUAAUACAGUACUGCUAUAUAAUGCCCCUGUCACAUGACUGUAUCCUUGGGGAUUAAUACAGUACUGCUAUAUAAUGCCCCUGUCACAUUUAUUUAUUUUAUUUAACU